UACGUAGGGUGCAAGCGUUGUCCGGAAUUAUUGGGCGUAAAGAGCUCGUAGGUGGCCUGUCGCGUCGGCUGUGAAAACUCGGGGCUCAACUCCGAGCUUGCAGUCGAUACGGGCAGGCUAGAGUUCGGCAGGGGAGACUGGAAUUCCUGGUGUAGCGGUGAAAUGCGUAGAUAUCGGGAGGAACACCUGUGGCGAAAGCGGCUCACUGGACCACAACUGACGCUGAGGCGCGAAAGCGUGGGUAGCAAACAGG
rnacentral:rRNA from 1 species